AAAAAAAGAAAGACUUUCUUCUUCCUCUAAAACCCUAAUUCCUCUACCAUUACCCAAACCCCAACCGCCGACCACCGACCACCGUCCAUCAUCUUCUUCCUCGCACGCCGUCAACAACCAUCGCACCUCGCACCUCCAUCACUAUCGCACCUCCAUCACCAUUGCACCUCCAUCACCAUCGCACCUCCAUCACCAUCGCACCUCCAUCACCGUUG
rnacentral:lncRNA from 1 species